AUUAGCAGUUGGUGAGGCAUGGCUCACCAAGGCUACGAUGGGUAGGGGUUCUUAGUGGAAGAUCCCCCACACUGGCACUGAGAUACGGGCCAGACUCCUACGGGAGGCAGCAGUAGGGAAUAUUGGUCAAUGGGCGAAAGCCUGAACCAGCCAUGCCGCGUGCAGGAUGACAGCUCUCUGAGUUGUAAACUGCUUUUGUACAGGAGCAAAACAAUCCCUGCGGGGGUUCUUGAGAGUACUGUAAGAAUAAGCACCGGCUAAUUCCGUGCCAGCAGCCGCGGUAAUACGGAAGGUGCAAGCGUUAUCCGGUUUUAUUGGGUUUAAAGGGUGCGUAGGCGGCUUAUUAAGUCAGUUGUGAAAUCCUAGUGCUUAACGCUAGAACUGCAAUUGAUACUAUUAGGCUUGAGUUAAGAAUAGGUA
rnacentral:rRNA from 1 species